rnacentral:rRNA from 1 species
UACGUAGGGGGCUAGCGUUGUCCGGAAUCAUUGGGCGUAAAGCGCGUGUAGGCGGCCCGGUAAGUCCGCUGUGAAAGUCGGGGGCUCAACCCUCGAAUGCCGGUGGAUACUGUCGGGCUAGAGUACGGAAGAGGCGAGUGGAAUUCCUGGUGUGGCGGUGAAAUGCGUAGAUAUCGAGAGGAACACCUGCGGCGAAGGCGGGUAGCUGGGCCGACACUGACGCUGAGGCGCGAAAGCUAGGGGAGCGAACGGG